rnacentral:rRNA from 1 species
ACGGGGGGGGCAAGCGUUGUUCGGAAUUACUGGGCGUAAAGGGCUCGUAGGCGGCCAACUAAGUCGGACGUGAAAUCCCUCGGCUCAACCGGGGAACUGCGUCCGAUACUGGAUGGCUUGAAUCCGGGAGAGGGAUGCGGAAUUCCAGGUGUAGCGGUGAAAUGCGUAGAUAUCUGGAGGAACACCGGUGGCGAAGGCGCACAUCUGGCCCAAUACUGACGCUGAAGCGCGAAAGCUAGGGGAGCAAACGGGA